CUUUAAAAAAAGGGAAACGUUGACAUCUAUGCCUAGAAUAUAUGUUUUCAUACAGCAUCAUUUGGUUGGAGAACCUCAUUGCAUAAUUCAGAAAAGUACCAGUUUUAGAGGAGUGGCCAUAUUUUGCAUCGUGCAUUGUUAUGGGAAGUGCAGAUUGAGUAGGCUUGCCUUUAAAUGCAAACUGAAUCAAAUCUCUCUCCCCAUCCUUAGAUUUCUUGCUCAGUCGGUCCAGGAGUUGCUAACUGCUGAUGGGUAACAUCAAGGUCUCCUCCUUGCAUCUCCCUUCUCAGGGGUCUUUACCUCUAAACUGGGCUUGGACCAACCAGCCCUUCCAAGAGAUGACACCUUCCAUUAGAGGACGACAUGUCCCCUGACAGCGGCCCCCUCAAAGAGAGGACUGUCCUUGGUAAUGUAGGACACCAUAUAACCAACCUAGUGACACUGGUCUGUAUCGCUCCUCUGCCUGUUCAUUGUGCCUGGGGCUUUUCUGCUGUAGAAAGUGUGACAGGAAUUUUGAGGUCUUAGAUAUAUGUUAAUGUUCAUAAGUGUACCAACCAAGCACGUACAUAGAUCAGAACAGGAAGACCGACCUGGAACCAUUUUUGAUUCCCAAACUGUCCCAAACUGACCAAAUGUUUUCUCUGCAAGGUCAAGGAAAAUGGAAAAACCUCCCCAUUGUCUUUUCCUUCACAAAUCCUGUCUUAAGGGUAUGUCUGUGUUUGAACAGGGUGAGCCUGUAACCUGACUGAGGAACUAAGUAUUUAUCAUUACUAAGUAUUUAUCAUUACAAAAGACUGGCCAGGCUCCCCAGGGUAUCCAGUCAAGUAACCUGCCAGACAGGAGAUAAACAAUGACAGGAGAAAAACAACAUUCAAAUUUCUGUUUUAGACCGCCUUUUCUGUGAUGUAGGUAUGAUGUAUCUGGGGUGGUGGUCUUGAGCUACACCCCUUCUGUGAUGUAUGUAUGAUGUUUCUGGGGGUAGUCUUGAUCUACAGUGUGGCAAUUUCAACAUGUCUAUAUAAGGCCUUGCACUCCAUUGUUCUGGGUUCCUCCUCCUUUCCUGCGAGUGAGGGGAGCACCCUGUUGCAACAGAUCAAUAAAGAUCAAGCUUACUAGCUACUUUGCUUUUCAAUAUUCUCUUGUUGGCCUCUGUUAUUUUCUCCUACCAAUAGGAAACCUACGUAAGGACUCUAUAUGGGCUCUUGGAUACCCCAUAAGGGGAAAAGGGCAGAUUUUGUUUACAACAAAAGAGAGCACAGAUUUGGAGGCCCGCCUCCGCCUGUGGUCUAGCAGGAUUUCCCCUGCCUCUCUCAGCUGACAGUUUAUCGGCACCGGAGAAAAUGCUAAAGGGGGCAGACUCUAAAUGUUUACUCCCUCUCUUACUUUACUUCCUCCACUCUCGCCCAAGGGAUGGGGGAAGCCCCCAAAAGUUAUUCAUCAAAGCAGAGCAGCAGCAAAAGUGCUGAGGGUGGGAUGGCAAGUGAGACGGAAAGAAGACUUGCUUCAGUUGCACAGGCAGUCUCUGGCAGAGGAGGCCCCUGAAACCGCAACUUUG
rnacentral:lncRNA from 1 species